AGCUCCAAUAGCGUAUAUUAAAGUUGUUGCAGUUAAAAAGCUCGUAGUUGGAUCUCGGGAGCAGGCCGGCGGUCCGCCUCGCGGCGGGUUCUUCCCGUCCUCCCCCACCCGCCCGGUUUUCCCCCGGGCUCUUCCUUUAGUGGCUCCGGGUGGCCGGAACGUUUACUUUGAAAAAAUUAGAGUGUUCAAAGCAGGCAGUUCGCCUGAAUAAAUGGUGCAUGGAAUAAUGGAAUAGGACCUCGGUUCUAUUUUGUUGGUUUUCGGAACUUGAGGUAAUGAUUAAGAGGGACAGACGGGGGCAUUCGUAUUACACUGUUAGAGGUGAAAUUCUUGGAUCGGUGUAAGACGAACUACUGCGAAAGCAUUUGCCAAGAAUGUUUUCA
rnacentral:rRNA from 1 species